rnacentral:rRNA from 1 species
ACCUACGGGGGGCAGCAGUGAGGAAUAUUGGUCAAUGGGCGAGAGCCUGAACCAGCCAAGUCGCGUGAGGGAAGACGGCCCUACGGGUUGUAAACCUCUUUUGUCAGGGAGCAAGAACGGAUACGUGUAUCCGAGCGAGAGUACCUGAAGAAAAAGCAUCGGCUAACUCCGUGCCAGCAGCCGCUGUAAUACGGAGGAUGCGAGCGUUAUCCGGAUUUAUUGGGUUUAAAGGGUGCGUAGGCGGAUUUUUAAGUCAGCGGUAAAAUGUCCGGGCUCAACCCGGGCCGGCCGUUGAAACUGGGGAU